GAUGAACGCUGGCGGCGUGCCUAAUACAUGCAAGUCGAGCGAACAGAUGAGGAGCUUGCUCCUCUGACGUUAGCGGCGGACGGGUGAGUAACACGUGGAUAACCUCCCUAUAAGACUGGGAUAACUUCGGGAAACCGGAGCUAAUACCGGAUAAUAUAUUGAACCGCAUGGUUCAAUAGUGAAAGACGGUUUUGCUGUCACUUAUAGAUGGAUCCGCGCCGCAUUAGCUAGUUGGUAAGGUAACGGCUUACCAAGGCAACGAUGCGUAGCCGACCUGAGAGGGUGAUCGGCCACACUGGAACUGAGACACGGUCCAGACUCCUACGGGAGGCAGCAGUAGGGAAUCUUCCGCAAAGGGCGAAAGCCUGACGGAGCAACGCCGCGUGAGUGAUGAAGGUCUUCGGAUCGUAAAACUCUGUUAUUAGGGAAGAACAAAUGUGUAAGUAACUAUGCACGUCUUGACGGUACCUAAUCAGAAAGCCACGGCUAACUACGUG
rnacentral:rRNA from 1 species